AUGAAGUCUCCUCUCGAGGCGUUGCUUCAUGAAACUCCAGAUUACUCCUUCCUCAAAGUGUUCGGUUGUGUGUGUUGGCCACAUCUUCGUUCAUACAACAAGCAUAAACUUGAGUAUCGAUCAAAAAAAUGUGUUUUUCUUGGGUACAGUCCUCUCCACAAAGGUUACAAGUGUCUCCACAUUCCGACGAAUCGCGUUUACAUUUCCCGUGACGUUGUGUUCGAUGAGACUGUCUUCCCGUUUUCCACGCUCACAUCAUCCACUGAUACUCCCGUCACCGAGUUGCACUCUUUUCCAGUUUUGCCUGAUCAAUUUGUGGAUGCUGCAUAUUCUCCUAUGUUGUUGCCUAACCAUGAUGCAGGGACUAGACGAGGUGCGCGACUUGAGCUUCUUGAGGAUGAUAAUGAGGCCUCACAUGAGCCAUCUGCCACUACGCCGGCUGUGCCUGUUGCUACGCAGGCUGCUCACGACGUCGACCGCAAGUGCAUGGGACAUGCACGUGGACUUGAUGAGGCACCCACGUCGCCUGUGUCCAUCGCCUCGGUGUCACCUAGUCCGGCCAACCCCGCGGUGUUGCCGCCUGGGUCGCCUGGGUCUGUGGCUUCGCAGCUGCCUGGGUCGGCUGACCCCGCAGUGUUGGCGCCUGGACCGGCCGACCCCGCGGCGUUGCCCCAUGGGCCGGUAGCACCCGAGGCACUGUCACUUGGGCAGGAGGCCUCGCCGACUGUUGCAUCGCUUGGGUCAUCAUCUUCUGGCUCGUCUUCGCCGACCACUUCAGGCGCGUCUUCUUCAUCGCUGAUGGACAGUGGCUCCUCUGUGGUGGCUGCUUCACUGUCACCUCCGCCUGUUGUCCUGCGUCCUCAUACUCGCAGCAAAAGUGGCAUCUUCCAACCGAAGAAGCGCACUGAUGGCACUGUUGUGUGGCUUGCGGCCUGUAUGGCGCAUACUGAGGCCGACCCUACGACUGAACCACGACAUUUUCAGGCAGCACUUGGCAUUCCACACUGGCGUGCUGCGAUGGAGGAGGAGAUCCAUGCACUUCAACGAAACAACACUUGGCGCCUGGUUCCACCUCCAUCUGGUGUCAAUAUCAUUGACUCUAAGUGGGUGUUCAAGGUGAAGAAACAUGCUGAUGGUUCCAUUGAGAGAUACAAGGCACGUCUGGUUGCCAAGGGUUUCAAACAAUGGUAUGGCAUUGAUUAUGCAGACACAUUCAGUCCUGUUAUUAAACCAACCACUAUUCGUGUUCUUCUCUCCUUGGCUGUUACUCGAGGAUGGUCGCUUCGACAGCUUGAUGUUCAGAAUGCUUUCCUCCAUGGAGUUCUGGAGGAAGAGGUUUACAUGCGAUAG
rnacentral:rRNA from 1 species